rnacentral:rRNA from 1 species
GAUGAACGCUGGCGGCGUGCCUAAUACAUGCAAGUCGAGCGAACAGACGAGGAGCUUUCUCCUCUGACGUUAGCUGCGGACGGGUGAGUAACACGUGGAUAACCUACCUAUAAGACUGGGAUAACUUCGUGAAACCGGAGCUAAUACCGGAUAAUAUAUUGAACCGCAUGGUUCAAUAGUUAAAUACGGUUUUGCUGUCACUUAUAGAUGGAUCCGCGCCGCAUUAGCUAGUUGGUAAGGUAACGGCUUACCAAGGCAACGAUGCGUAGACGACCUGAGAGGGUGAUCGGCCACACGGGAACUGAGACACGGUCCAGACUCCUACGGGAGGCAGCAGUAGGGAAUCUUCCGCAAUGGGCGAAAGCCUGACGGAGCAACGCCGCGUGAGUGAUGAAGGUCUUCGGAUCGUAAAACUCUGUUAUUAGGGAAGAACAAAUGUGUAAGUAACUAUGCACGUCUUGACGGUACCUAAUCAGAAAGCCACGGCUAACUACGUG